CAGCUGGGAUCUUCUGUCAAGGCCCAAGGUGCAGUUGGUGCCUUCCUGGGGGAUGAUGGAGAGCAGGGAAGAUGGGAUCUGGCACGAUGCACUAAUUCAGCCAAAUCUAAGGAUGACUGUGACCUGCACAACCUGGGGCAAGUUGGAGAAGAGCGAAGCCAAUGGCUGAAAAGAGAAAUUACACAAGACACUCAGGGUGAUAGACUUUAGAGGUAGAGCACAGGACAAAACAAGAAAAGGUCUUUCAAGGGAAUGGGAAGCAUUUGUAUUUGAUAUACCCCUGUAAAUACUGUUUUCUGGCAUCUGGGAAAAUUGGUCAGUAUUCAUAGUGGGAAAAGACAGUGAAGAAUAAUGUGUCCAGCAGAAAUUCCUGCAGCUCUUGGCUCAGCAGAACACAACUGCUGAAGACUGGAGCCUGCUCAGGACACUGGAGCUAACACCUCCACACUUGUAAGAAGCAGGACCUUGGGUGACCAUAAGCAGUAAGCUUGGGAUGUCAUUAAAAUAGCAACACCUGCAGUGGCACAGAGCCCUGAACUCCCUGCUGAGGAGCCUCAGUGUGUUGCUAAUUCAGAGGGAAGAUGCCACCUACUGAAUCACCCAAACCACUUCCUGCAGUACCUGGUUUUCCUCACGUUUCCCAUCCAAAUAGUGGCUAGACCCCCGUGAAAAAUGCCGCCUCUGCUGAAAUAGCUGGGCUGGCCAUUGCUGGAUUCACACGACGCAUCACCAGUGGGACAGCUGCAGGAGGAAUAACAUACAGAAGGAGUAAUGCUUGUGCCCAUGCUACAGGCAGAGCUGGAGCAUGGCCCAGUUCCAUACUGGAGCCUGUCAGAGUACAGCUCUUCAUCACAGCCCUCAGUGGAGACAGGCGACAUACAGACACUUGUGGCUGCUUGCAGGCUCUUGGAGAUGUGCGGGUAUUGCCAGAUAUUAAAUGCAUUGGGAUUGGUGAUUUAGGAGAGCUGCCCAAACAUCUUUGGGGCCAAAGUGGUACCAGCUUUCAGAUCUCUGAUGCAUCGAUCCAGAUGGAGAUGGACAGCCAACAUGACCCCUCGUCCUGCACCAGAGGACCCCUCUCCAAAGCAGCUCCUCCAGGAAGGGCGCGUGUUUGGUCAGAACCUUCUCUCUUGAGCUGGUACCCAGCCUGGUACAUUGGUGGUCCCUCAAUCGUCAUGGAGUUGCAUGCUCACAACUUGCAUACCAAAGUCAAAAACCCCACAGUGAUUCCUCUGGUCAUUAUUUUCUCAAUAUAUUGUCUCUGCCAGGCAGUUAGUCAGCAACAGUGGCUGAUGAUGGUGGAGCCAAGAACCCUCUACAAGAGAGUUCCUCCCUUGCUUUCCUUCACAGAGAAGGAACCUGAGUGUCCCACUUGUUCCCUGGCCUGGAGAAGACCUGCAAGCAGAUCUGCAAGCCAUGGGCAUUUUGCACAUUCACACACUUCCCCAGCAUCUGGUCAAGCCAAUUUGAUGACUGUUGUUCCUGAACAUGGACUGGAAAACAGGGAUAUCUCUCGGGCUGGCUGAAGCCUUCAGCAGGGAGGAGGGCUGUGGCCCUCACAACUGCCUGCUUGCUCCUCAGCUUUCUUUUUCUCAAAGGCCUCAGAAAUCUGCAGAUUCAGAGAUGUUUUUUCCCCUUUCUUGAAAGCAUGUCUAAAAAUAAAGAGAGUAUUGAAACCAAGCCCAGCCCAUAGAGCAGAGUGUGUAGGUGUGAUGCUAAACAAUACCUGGGGCUGUGAACCGUCCUGGGGGAGCUGGCACCCAUCUGGCAGACAUGCUCUCUCUCUUUCUCCUCAUUCUUUCUUUGAAACCUUGUCAAAGAGCACACAAGAUGAUGAAUCUGAAGUCGUUUUGUUUGAAAAUGACCUACACAUGUUGUUCUGGUUAUAAGAAGAGGACAAGGGGUUUCAUUUGCAAAACCAGCUGGGACCCCCAAGCUGCUACUGUGCUCUCUGCUUUUGUUUUCUAGCUGAAGGUUUCUAGAGGUGACUGAUAGAAAACAUUGAUGGCAGAUACUGAUUCAUGGUGGCAGACCAGGAUGUCUCUGAGGUUUGGCCCUUGGCAGAUGUAAAUAGACCAGCAGACAACAUGCGGUGCACAGAGAAGACUCUCCCUUUUAAACACAAAGCACAGCAAGCCCAAACUGGAUCCCUAUUCUCGUUGGGGAUCAACCUGCAGCAAUGAUGAGAGAAACGCAGCAAGUCCCCAGCCCUCUCCAGAGCUAAACUGCAAAACCACAGGCUUCACCAAAACCCUUCAAGCCAGCCAGUCUCCUAGAAGUGUCUCUAUCCCCUUCUCUCAACUCAGGGCUGGAAAUAAUGACAGGAUAUUCUUCUCUGCAGCCUGCCUGACAUCCAGCAGCAGCAAAGAAACAAAUGCACGGAUCCAGGGAUGCGGCCAGAGCUGGCCCAACAAGGGAGAAUCAGCUCCAAGCACUCCGAGGAAGCAAACAGUCCAUUUAAAGGCAUUUAAUGCUGGAGAAAAUGGAGAGGGAUUCAGCACAAAGCCACAAAACCAGUUUUGAGGAAGAAACACAGCUUGCCUCCUGUCCCUCUCCCCUGUGAACUGAAGGGGAGAGGCUGUCUAUCUCUGCCUGUCCCUUCAGGUCAGCAUCCCGGGCAAAGGCAGCAUCCCUGAGUGCUCAACAGUCUCUUUGAGUGCAGUUCUGUUUAUGUUGGCUGCUGCUGAUCCCAGCCCAUCUUCAGCACAUGGAUGCUUUUAACCCCUUGGGGAAGGGUCGGUGUGGCCGACCGGAGGGGGAGAGCGCCAGCCCGCUGCACACUCCGCAGCUGCCAAGGACACUGCCACGAUUCAUUCAUGUCCCUUCUCAAGGCACAGAUUGUAAACACAGUAGGGAAGCCGGGCCACGUCCCAGCCCAGCCUGGCUGCCUGCCUCGAGGUCUCCGUCGCCCAGAAUUUGGAGCUCGCCUCUUCUUCCAUUGCCUCUAAGCAGUAAUGGUGAAU